rnacentral:lncRNA from 1 species
UGCAGCCAAAAGGUUCUGACACAACCAGACAGAUGAGGAGGCAUUCGAAUGACUUGUGAUUUCAUCCAAACUGAUUUGCUUGUUCCUACCACAGUGUUUCUCUGGAUCUUUUCAAACCUCUGCAAAGAGUUUAUCCACAUGAUACUCAUUAAAGUCUCAUUUGAAAGGAUAAAGAAAAAAAAAAAAGCCCAAAGCUUUUUGAAAAAGGCAGGGUUAUCUGAGCUGCAAAUACACUGGUAAAAGGAUUUUUUACUUAUAUCUAUUUCUAUUCUCCACUGCCACCCGACUGACUUUUGUAAAUUGAGAUAACAGCAGGCAUUUAAUGGAAUCUGACAUCAAGUAAGAUCAGUCACCUUGCUUUGCCUAAUAGCCCCUUUCCAUACAGUGACAAAGUGACUUCUCAUUAAUUAGCAUUGGAUGUGUGGUGGUCAACACAACAAAUGUUGGGUGCAAAGAAGGAAGCAAGGAGAAACACUAAGCAUAUGGAAGAAAAAACGAAGGGGAAACAGAAAGAUGAGGUAGAAAGCAGAAGGACAAAGUAAACAAUGAUUUGAGAAAAAAAUAUCGGUUAUGAUCUUCUGUGAUAAACUAAUCCCCAUUCCUUCUCUCCAUCUGCCUCAGGAUAAGGAAAUUAAUAUCAUCUUGUAGAUCAUGA